GUCAGGACCCCGCAGCUGGGAGAAACCCACCAGACACAAGAGCCUCUUUCACUUUAACUUUCCCUCUUUUUGUGUCUCCUAUGAAAGAGAGAGAGUGUGUGUGUGUUUGUGCCACCGCAGGCCGAUAAAGCACCUUUUCUGGUCGUGCAGUGUCAGAUUUACGCCCCUCGUUAAGCCGGUGACACCUUCCACCCGAGUCAGGAUGGCACAGCGCCCGUCUCAUACGGGGCGACACACUAUUAAGAUUACGCCUCAUUAGUGAAGACGAGGCGCUGCUGAUGAAAGACACAGAAAAAGGUUGCGCGACGUGCCGACGCUCAGCUGGCUUUGUCCAAACUAACAGCAGCGCUCCUCGAGACGGAGAGGAUCAUUUGUUUGUGACUUCCGGACACCUGUUACCCACAAUUCAAAGACUAUUUGUGUCUCUGGUGAUAAUGGAGAAUCCUGUGGAGAUUCUGGAGAAACAGGACUGAGUCACACACACCUGCUGGAGACACACACACAGCCCUGUGAUGGAGUGACACACAUAUACACACAACCCUUUGAGAGGCUGAUUGUUCAGGCAGGGGGAGCCGAAUGCAUCCGUACGCUUCUGGAUGAUGUGGAUGAAUGAUGCUCCAGGAUUUUACAGGAACCUGCCAAAAUGAGCUCCGAGGUCUGCGGUGCAUUGAUAUUUCCCAAACAGUCUCGUUUUCUUUGCAUUUUCAUAAUUAAUUUGCUUUUUGAGAAUUAAUCAUUUGUUUUGUCAAAAGUUUCAGCUUUCAAAACUUUCUCUGUCUGUUUCUGGAGAUCGUUUCAGCUCGUAGGUGUGAUAAUGUUGUGCCAGAUUUGACCAGGUGGGCCAAAAAUCAUCCGUUUUUGGUCUUUAUAUAAAAAACUUUUCAAUUUCACUUGCUUAAAAAGUAAAGUUUAAGAAUCUCCCACAUGCUGUACCGAGUCUGUUCUUAUUUUGUAAAAGAAAAAAAAAAAGUCAGAUUUCCCCAUCUGCCUGAGGCUGUGGAUUAAAGGUGAUAAUGUUGUAAAUUAUGUUAGGUUUUUUUGCACAGAUUGAUUGUUUCGCUUCAUAAGAGUGUGUUUCAUCAGUAGGAACAAGUAUUAUUAUUGUAAUUGUGUUUUUUAACCCUAAAACUGCCAUUGCUUUUUCUAAAACAAAAUCCUGUUUUCAGAAUAAACAUUCAAUUGAAGGAGGAAAUCAAAAAUA
rnacentral:lncRNA from 1 species